rnacentral:rRNA from 1 species
GACAGAGGGUGCAAACGUUGUUCGGAAUCACUGGGCGUAAAGCGCGUGUAGGCUGUUUGGCAAGUCGGAUGUGAAAUCCCACGGCUCAACCAUGGAAGAGCAUUCGAAACUGCCAAACUAGAGUUCUGGAGAGGAAGGCGGAAUACUCGGUGUAGAGGUGAAAUUCGUAGAUAUCGAGUGGAACACCAGUGGCGAAGGCGGCCUUCUGGACAGUGACUGACGCUGAAACGCGAAAGCGUGGGGAGCAAACAGG